rnacentral:lncRNA from 1 species
CCUAUAUUCCCGUAAGAGACAUUACUUAGCUUUACUGACAUUUUACUGUCAUUUUCACCCAAGCUCUUCAAGCAGCAUCAUUUGCGCAAAAAUCCCAUUGCCUGGUAGCUGGUAGGCAUCAUUUAGAGUAACAUCUGCUAUGGCUGAAGCUUUACUGGCACCUUCUGGCUUCUGCCAAAAUGGUAUCCAAGUAAGACGGGUCAGACAUAAUUUCUUCGUAUUGGACCUGCAACGUAGAAAACCGAAUAGUUCGUAAUCAACAUGAUAUUUGACUUGCUAAAGCAUAUUGACUGAAGAUCUGUUUAGAAGCUAAUGUUAGAGUAUAUUUGCGGCCAAGAAAAUUAGUUUACUUAUUUCCAUGUAUAGGCUAAUCAAAUCAUUAAUUCCAUUGUAUAGCUAAUUAUUUUCCUUCCUUAUAUAGCUUGUAAUAUUCUAUAAAUCAAAUGUAAUACACCGAGAAAAGUCAUUCAGCAAAAUGUGUCAUGGUAUCACAGCGCUAACCUUUUUUCCUCUUUCGUGUAGUUGCGGGGUGGGCAACGAUUUUUCUAGCAGCACUCAGUUCUUGGUUAUCAUAAUAGGCAUCACGGUGGUUGCCUCUUGCGUUUUCGGCGUUCGAUUGAUUGUUCAUACUCGGUGUCUUCGGUGGUGGUUCUCUUGCAUUUUCGACGGUCGCCUCUCAGUUUGUUGCAGCCUCUGCAUGUUCUUCGAUUUUUUGGCAAGCCUAGCUGUGGGUCUUGGUCGGAGCAGAGUUUUCAGUUUCUGGUCCUCGGUCAUCUACGAGCGUCGUGGUCGGGGCAGGGUUAUCAAUUUCCAACCAUCUCCGAGCGUCGUCUCUGUGAGUCGUGUUAUUGGACUAUGGUGUUGUGUUAUAAAUUUAAGUGGAAAUCACACCAAGCUGUUUUUAAAGAUGACAGUUCAAAAAUAAGAUGUAAUGUUUAGUUAAUCAUAAAUCAGGCGAUUAUUUAAUUAUUAUUAAUAAUUUAAAAUUAAAUUAAUCCC